rnacentral:tRNA from 1 species
ACUUUUUUAAUAUAAAGAAUAUAGAUGACUUCCACUCAUCCAAUCUUAGAUAGCUCUAAGAAAAAGUA